AUACAUGUCUGUGCGCAGCCGUUUCUGAAUUCCGACAUCAAUGCCAUUGUUUGUGUGGGCUUAUCGAUCAUCGGCUGAAGAUCUCUGCCGCCUAAGACCUCCUCGUGAACCUCCGCCGCCGAGUGGUUGAGUAAGCGGUCUUUCUUUUCUUCAAGGUUUGCCCGUGUGAACCCAUUUUAACCUUGGGAAGGGCUACUGUGAGGUUUUAUUCACAAAGGGAGACAUAUGUAGAUGCACUAGAGAAGCAUCUCUCGAACAAUAUUCUUAUUCGUCGGCGACAUACUAGUUAAACCAGUUUUCUAACAAUGUAAACAUUUUUCUUGCACCAUGUUUGUAAAAUCAUGGGUUUUAUGAUGAAUAAAGUUUAUGAAUUUCCUCUCAUUUUUUCCUAGUUGACCAACCAAACCAGUUUUAUUGGCGGGUGGACGGAGUAGUUGCAUUGAUCUUUAACAAUGUUCUUCUGAGCGACACAACAGUGGUAAAACGAAUUUUCGUCAGCAUCUUUCUUUGGCAAGUUUAAAGCCCUCUUCGGUACAAGUUAUCUAUGGGACAUAACUAGUUUUUGAUGCACUAUUGCCCUUUGUUUCUAAUGCACUAUUUUCCUUGUUGUUAACAACUUCAGAAGUUAAUUGUGAAUGCGAGUUUAUGAACUAUCUCUUCUCUUUUCAGUUUGUUGUUGAAUGAUGAAUGAUUUGCACUA